UACGUAGGGUGCGAGCGUUGUCCGGAAUUAUUGGGCGUAAAGAGCUUGUAGGCGGUUUGUCGCGUCUGCUGUGAAAAUCCGGGGCUCAACCCCGGACUUGCAGUGGGUACGGGCAGACUAGAGUGUGGUAGGGGAGACUGGAAUUCCUGGUGAUAGCGGUGAAAUGCGCAGAUAUCAGGAGGAACACCCGAUGGGCGAAGGCAGGUCUCUGGGCCACUAACUGACGCU
rnacentral:rRNA from 1 species